CGCGGACCGGGCGACGUUGAUCGCGAGCCGCGUCGUCGUCGUGGCCAGGAACGCCGCCGGGUCGAUCACCGUCGUGCGGUCGGUGGCCUGCCACC
rnacentral:tRNA from 1 species